rnacentral:rRNA from 1 species
UACGAGUGCCCCAAGCGUUAUCCGGAAUCAUUGGGCGUAAAGGGUGUGUAGGCGGUUUUGUUAGUCUUCUGUCAAAUUCUUCGGCUUAACCGGGGGUCCGCAGGAGAAACGGCAAAACUAGAGGAUGCGAGAGGUGAAUGGAACUCAUGGAGUAGGGGUGAAAUCCGUUGAUAUCAUGGGGAACACCGAAUGCGAAGGCAGUUCACUGGCGCACUCCUGACGCUGAGACACGAAAGCGUAGGUAGCGAAUGGG